rnacentral:rRNA from 1 species
AGAGUUUGAUCCUGGCUCAGGAUGAACGCUAGCUACAGGCUUAACACAUGCAAGUCGAGGGGCAGCAUGGUCUUAGCUUGCUAAGGCCGAUGGCGACCGGCGCACGGGUGAGUAACACGUAUCCAACCUGCCGUCUACUCUUGGACAGCCUUCUGAAAGGAAGAUUAAUACAAGAUGGCAUCAUGAGUCCGCAUGUUCACAUGAUUAAAGGUAUUCCGGUAGACGAUGGGGAUGCGUUCCAUUAGAUAGUAGGCGGGGUAACGGCCCACCUAGUCUUCGAUGGAUAGGGGUUCUGAGAGGAAGGUCCCCCACAUUGGAACUGAGACACGGUCCAAACUCCUACGGGAGGCAGCAGUGAGGAAUAUUGGUCAAUGGGCGAGAGCCUGAACCAGCCAAGUAGCGUGAAGGAUGACUGCCCUAUGGGUUGUAAACUUCUUUUAUAAAGGAAUAAAGUCGGGUAUGAAUACCCGUUUGCAUGUACUUUAUGAAUAAGGAUCGGCUAACUCCGUGCCAGCAGCCGCGGUAAUACGGAGGAUCCGAGCGUUAUCCGGAUUUAUUGGGUUUAAAGGGAGCGUAGAUGGAUGUUUAAGUCAGUUGUGAAAGUUUGCGGCUCAACCGUAAAAUUGCAGUUGAUACUGGAUAUCUUGAGUGCAGUUGAGGCAGGCGGAAUUCGUGGUGUAGCGGUGAAAUGCUUAGAUAUCACGAAGAACUCCGAUUGCGAAGGCAGCCUGCUAAGCUGCAACUGACAUUGAGGCUCGAAAGUGUGGGUAUCAAACAGGAUUAGAUACCCUGGUAGUCCACACGGUAAACGAUGAAUACUCGCUGUUUGCGAUAUACAGCAAGCGGCCAAGCGAAAGCGUUAAGUAUUCCACCUGGGGAGUACGCCGGCAACGGUGAAACUCAAAGGAAUUGACGGGGGCCCGCACAAGCGGAGGAACAUGUGGUUUAAUUCGAUGAUACGCGAGGAACCUUACCCGGGCUUAAAUUGCAGAUGAAUUACGGUGAAAGCCGUAAGCCGCAAGGCAUCUGUGAAGGUGCUGCAUGGUUGUCGUCAGCUCGUGCCGUGAGGUGUCGGCUUAAGUGCCAUAACGAGCGCAACCCUUGUUGUCAGUUACUAACAGGUUCCGCUGAGGACUCUGACAAGACUGCCAUCGUAAGAUGUGAGGAAGGUGGGGAUGACGUCAAAUCAGCACGGCCCUUACGUCCGGGGCUACACACGUGUUACAAUGGGGGGUACAGAGGGCCGCUACCACGCGAGUGGAUGCCAAUCCCAAAAACCUCUCUCAGUUCGGACUGGAGUCUGCAACCCGACUCCACGAAGCUGGAUUCGCUAGUAAUCGCGCAUCAGCCACGGCGCGGUGAAUACGUUCCCGGGCCUUGUACACACCGCCCGUCAAGCCAUGGGAGCCGGGGGUACCUGAAGUGCGUAACCGCGAGGAGCGCCCUAGGGUAAAACUGGUGACUGGGGCUAAGUCGUAACAAGGUAGCCGUACCGGAAGGUGCGGCUG